rfam:Schistosoma mansoni strain Puerto Rico chromosome W, complete genome
AUCCAGCUGACGAGUCCCAAAUAGGACGGAAUGCGCGUCCUGGAU